GAAAUAUCUUCAGUUUCCAAUUUUGCCCUCGUCACUCACUCCUCCCACUCACUCAUUCCCCUCCCUCUCGCUCGACUCGCUCGUUCCCCUUUUCUCGCCUCCGACGAAAUCCCUAGCUCGUCUCGCCUCCGACACUCACGUCGUCGCCGCUAGCUUGCCUAUCACCCGCGUCGUCGCUGCUCGCCUCCCUCUCCCCCGCGUCGUCCGGGCUGCCUUCACUGGUGCCGUCGCCUCUCACUCUUGCCCGCAUCGCCUGCACCAGCAAGGUCGCCACAAAGUUUGAUUUUUUACUGAAGGGGAGGCGAGAGCCUGUGGGAGGAGCUAUGCCGACGGCUGGGUCUGAAGCGGCUGGUCGUCUCACCGUGAGCACGAGGGGGAGGGGCGGGAGGAGCACGAGCGAGCGGCUGUUUUAGAUGAGGAGGAGCGGAGGCGGCAGUGACAUGGUGCAGGCGACGCUCCAUCUGCUGCUGAGUAUGACGAGUGGAGGAGGAGCAGGAGGACGUCGGCGCCGUCGGAACGUGGAGAACAAUCAAUUCACAGGAUCAAUCCCAGAGAAGAUGCUCACCAUCCCAAAAUUGGUGUAGAAGAAAGGACAACCACUUAACUAUUCAAUUUCUGCAGAAGAAAGGACAAUCAUUUAACCAUUCUGAUCCGCGGUUCCUCUCCGACCGACAGUGGUGAGCAGUUCAGAUCUGGAAGCACCAUACUGUGAUGUUGCUGUUGUGAUGUUCAGGUACUGUUGCUAUUGCUGUUGUGCUGGUGCUCUACUUUUCCUCUUGCUACUGCUGCUAUGAUGAGAAAUUCUUAUCGGUGCUCUUGCUAUGAUGAGAAAUUCUCCUGUUUGUGCUACUCCUGCAUGAUGAGUACUCCACUGUUGUGCUGGGCUCCACUUUUCCUCUUGUUGGUGCUCUUGCUAUGAUCAAGGAGUACUUUAUGACCUGCACCUGCUGUUGUACUGAGAAAUUGUACUCCUGUGCUGAUUUGCACCUGCUGUUGUACUGAGAAAUUGUACUCCUGUGUUGAUUUACACCUGCUAUUGUACACUGUUGAUCUGCUCUUCCUACUGUUGUGCACCUGUGAUCUCCUGAACUGCUGUUGUGCUAUGAUGAGAAUUUAUUCUUGCUGUUGUUGUACUCCUUGAUCCAGCUGCUAUGAUGAAUUCUUGCUGUUGAUCAUGUUGCUGAAUUCUUGCAAGGAGCACCAGGGCGAGCAGCAAGGUGGACGCAGCGGGGAGCACCUGCGAGCAGCAAGGUGGGCGCAGCGGGGAUCACCUAGGCGAGUAGCAAGGGAGGGCUCCCUGGGUGCAGUGGCAAGGGAGGGCGCCCUGGCGCGGCAAGGGAGGGCCUGGGCGUGGCUGGGAGGGCCUAGGCGCGGAGAGGAUGGCCUGCGCGCGGCCUGGGGACCGAAGCUGGGCGGCGAGGACGAGCGCCUGGGCGCGGCCUGGGGACCGAAGCUGGACGGCGAGGACGAGCGCCUGGAUGCGGGGCUGAUGCGGGGACGUGAGGAAGAAGACGACUGGUUUGAAAUUCAAAUCAAGGGCAUAAUUGUCUAUUUGCACUUUUGUCGGCUGUGUGUGAAAAUCCCUCAACGUCUUAUAAUUCUUUCCAGAGGGAGUACUUAACUAAGUCUUAGUCGAUUCUAUAUUCGUGAGAUCUUACGUGGAGAUCUGUGCAAUUUUUUACAUAUGUUAUGUUACUUGAGUGAGAUUUGGUGACUUGGUUAAGUCUCAGUCAACUGAUAUCUAGUCACACCCUUCAUGUUAUUAUUGUUUAUGUGUAUCUUGGAUCUUCAAUUAUCUUGGAUCUAGUCACAUAAGUUAAGCGAAUUAUUUGAAAAAUAUCCUCAACUGUCUGCAAAUGAUUAUGUUU
rnacentral:rRNA from 1 species